UACGGAGGGUGCAAACGUUGCUCGGAAUCAUUGGGCGUAAAGCGCACGUAGGCGGCCUGUUAAGUCGGGUGUGAAAGCCCUGGGCUCAACCCAGGAAGUGCACUCGAAACUGACGGGCUUGAAUAUGGAAGAGGGUCGCGGAAUUCCCGGUGUAGAGGUGAAAUUCGUAGAUAUCAGGAGGAACACCGGUGGCGAAGGCGGGUCUCUGGGCCGAUACUGACGCUGAGGAGCGAAAGCGUGGGGAGCGAACAGG
rnacentral:rRNA from 1 species